UAUAAUAUACUGAGUGUGAACAUUCUCAAAACUGUAUUGUAUAUAGUUUAUUUUUUUUUAUUGUGUAAAUGUAAUUUUUGUAAAACUGAGGUUCCACAUGUCACUGUUGAAGUGGGGCGUUAAUCAGUGUGACACCACUUGUAAACAUGCUGCAUGUGUGGGGGUUCCCAGCCAGAGCUGCAUGGACUCCACACUGGGAUGAGCAGAGGUGUGCUGUUGCUGUGUGACACUGAUUUUGCUGCUCCACUUUGUGUUUUAG